rnacentral:rRNA from 2 species
UGUGAACUCGAAGAGUAGGGCGGGACACGUGGUAUCCUGUCUGAAUAUGGGGGGACCAUCCUCCAAGGCUAAAUACUCCUGACUGACCGAUAGUGAACCAGUACCGUGAGGGAAAGGCGAAAAGAACCCCGGCGAGGGGAGUGAAAAAGAACCUGAAACCGUGUACGUACAAGCAGUGGGAGCCUCUUUAUGGGGUGACUGCGUACCUUUUGUAUAAUGGGUCAGCGACUUAUAUUCUGUAGCAAGGUUAACCGUAUAGGGGAGCCGAAGGGAAACCGAGUCUUAACUGGGCGUUAAGUUGCAGGGUAUAGACCCGAAACCCGGUGAUCUAGCCAUGGGCAGGUUGAAGGUUGGGUAACACUAACUGGAGGACCGAACCGACUAAUGUUGAAAAAUUAGCGGAUGACCUGUGGCUGGGGGUGAAAGGCCAAUCAAACCGGGAGAUAGCUGGUUCUCCCCGAAAGCUAUUUAGGUAGCGCCUCGUGAACUCAUCUUCGGGGGUAGAGCACUGUUUCGGCUAGGGGGCCAUCCCGGCUUACCAACCCGAUGCAAACUACGAAUACCGAAGAAUGUUAUCACGGGAGACACACGGCGGGUGCUAACGUCCGUCGUGAAGAGGGAAACAACCCAGACCGCCAGCUAAGGUCCCAAAGUCAUGGUUAAGUGGGAAACGAUGUGGGAAGGCACAGACAGCCAGGAUGUUGGCUUAGAAGCAGCCAUCAUUUAAAGAAAGCGUAAUAGCUCACUGGUCGAGUCGGCCUGCGCGGAAGAUGUAACGGGGCUAAACCAUGCACCGAAGCUGCGGCAGCGACACUAUGUGUUGUUGGGUAGGGGAGCGUUCUGUAAGCCGUUGAAGGUGUGCUGUGAGGCAUGCUGGAGGUAUCAGAAGUGCGAAUGCUGACAUAAGUAACGAUAAAGCGGGUGAAAAGCCCGCUCGCCGGAAGACCAAGGGUUCCUGUCCAACGUUAAUCGGGGCAGGGUGAGUCGACCCCUAAGGCGAGGCCGAAAGGCGUAGUCGAUGGGAAACAGGUUAAUAUUCCUGUACUUGGUGUUACUGCGAAGGGGGGACGGAGAAGGCUAUGUCAGCCGGGCGACGGUUGUCCCGGUUUAAGCAUGUAGGCGGAGGUUCCAGGUAAAUCCGGUACCUUUUAACGCUGAGGUGUGAUGACGAGGCACUACGGUGCUGAAGUGAUAAAUGCCCUGCUUCCAGGAAAAGCCUCUAAGCAUCAGGUAACACGAAAUCGUACCCCAAACCGACACAGGUGGUCAGGUAGAGAAUACCAAGGCGCUUGAGAGAACUCGGGUGAAGGAACUAGGCAAAAUGGUGCCGUAACUUCGGGAGAAGGCACGCUGAUAUGUAGGUGAAGCCCCUGCGGGCGGAGCUGAAAUCAGUCGAAGAUACCAGCUGGCUGCAACUGUUUAUUAAAAACACAGCACUGUGCAAACACGAAAGUGGACGUAUACGGUGUGACGCCUGCCCGGUGCCGGAAGGUUAAUUGAUGGGGUUAGCGGCAACGCGAAGCUCUUGAUCGAAGCCCCGGUAAACGGCGGCCGUAACUAUAACGGUCCUAAGGUAGCGAAAUUCCUUGUCGGGUAAGUUCCGACCUGCACGAAUGGCGUAAUGAUGGCCAGGCUGUCUCCACCCGAGACUCAGUGAAAUUGAACUCGCUGUGAAGAUGCAGUGUACCCGCGGCAAGACGGAAAGACCCCGUGAACCUUUACUAUAGCUUGACACUGAACACUGGUCCUUGAUGUGUAGGAUAGGUGGGAGGCUUUGAAGCGUGGACGCCAGUCUGCGUGGAGCCAUCCUUGAAAUACCACCCUUUAAUGGCUGGUGUUCUAACGUAGACCCGUGAUCCGGGUUGCGGACAGUGUCUGGUGGGUAGUUUGACUGGGGCGGUCUCCUCCCAAAGAGUAACGGAGGAGCACGAAGGUUGGCUAAUCCUGGUCGGACAUCAGGAGGUUAGUGCAAUGGCAUAAGCCAGCUUGACUGCGAGCGUGACGGCGCGAGCAGGUGCGAAAGCAGGUCAUAGUGAUCCGGUGGUUCUGAAUGGAAGGGCCAUCGCUCAACGGAUAAAAGGUACUCCGGGGAUAACAGGCUGAUACCGCCCAAGAGUUCAUAUCGACGGCGGUGUUUGGCACCUCGAUGUCGGCUCAUCACAUCCUGGGGCUGAAGUAGGUCCCAAGGGUAUGGCUGUUCGCCAUUUAAAGUGGUACGCGAGCUGGGUUUAGAACGUCGUGAGACAGUUCGGUCCCUAUCUGCCGUGGGCGCUGGAGAAUUGAGGGGGGCUGCUCCUAGUACGAGAGGACCGGAGUGGACGCAUCACUGGUGUUCGGGUUGUCAUGCCAAUGGCACUGCCCGGUAGCUAAAUGCGGAAGAGAUAAGUGCUGAAAGCAUCUAAGCACGAAACUUGCCCCGAGAUGAGUUCUCCCUGAGACUUUAAGUCUCCUGAAGGAACGUUGAAGACGACGACGUUGAUAGGUCGGGUGUGUAAGCGCAGCGAUGCGUUGAGCUAACCGAUACUAAUGAACCGUGAGGCUUAACCUUACAACGCCGAAG